rnacentral:misc_RNA from 1 species
GAUGAAGAACGCAGCGAAAUGCGAUACGUAAUGUGAAUUGCAGAAUUCAGUGAAUCAUCGAGUCUUUGAACGCACAUUGCGCCCCCUGGUAUUCCGGGGGGCAUGCCUGUCCGAGCGUCAUUGCUGCCCUCAAGCACGGCUUGUGUGUUGGGCCUCCGUCCUCCUCCCGGGGGACGGGCCCGAAAGGCAGCGGCGGCACCGCGUCCGGUCCUCGAACGUAUGGGGCUUCGUCACCCGCUCUUGUAGGCCCGGCCGGCGCUUGCCGACACAUCAAUCUUUUUUCCAGGUUGACCUCGGAUCAGGUAGGGAUACCCGCUGAACUUAAGCAUAUCAAUAAGCGGAGGA